GUGCCAGCCGCCGCGGUAAUACGUAGGGUGCAAGCGUUAAUCGGAAUUACUGGGCGUAAAGCGUGCGCAGGCGGUUAUGCAAGACAGAGGUGAAAUCCCCGGGCUCAACCUGGGAACUGCCUUUGUGACUGCAUGGCUAGAGUACGGUAGAGGGGGAUGGAAUUCCGCGUGUAGCAGUGAAAUGCGUAGAUAUGCGGAGGAACACCGAUGGCGAAGGCAAUCCCCUGGACCUGUACUGACGCUCAUGCACGAAAGCGU
rnacentral:rRNA from 1 species